rnacentral:rRNA from 1 species
UAAGGCUAAAUACUCCUGAGAGACCGAUAGUGAACUAGUACCGUGAGGGAAAGGUGAAAAGAACCCUAAGUAAGGGAGUGAAAGAGAUCCUGAAACCGUACGCCUACAAGCGGUCGGAGCAACUUUUAGUUGUGACGGCGUGCCUUUUGCAUAAUGAGCCUACGAGUUACUGUUUCUAGCAAGGUUAAUUGAUUAAGUCAAGGAGCCGUAGCGAAAGCGAGUCUGAAUAGGGCGCUUUAGUUAGUAGUAGUAGACGCGAAACCGAGUGAUCUACCCAUGGGCAGGUUGAAGCUGUAGUAACAUACAGUGGAGGACCGAACCAGUUGACGUUGAAAAGUCUUUGGAUGACCUGUGGGUAGGGGUGAAAGGCCAAUCAAACUCGGAAAUAGCUCGUACUCCCCGAAAUGCAUUUAGGUGCAGCGUUGAGUAAAAGUUUUAUAGAGGUAGAGCUACUGAUUGGAUGCGGGGGCUUCACCGCCUACCAAUUCCUGACAAACUCCGAAUGCUAUAAAAUGUUUCUCAGCAGUGAGGGCAUGGGUGCUAAGGUCCAUGUCCGAGAGGGAAAGAACCCAGACCAUCAGCUAAGGUCCCCAAAUAUAUGUUAAGUUGAACUAACGAAGUGAAAUUGCUUAGACAGCUAGGAUGUUGGCUUGGAAGCAGCCAUUCAUUUAAAGAGUGCGUAACAGCUCACUAGUCGAGCGAUUUUGCAUGGAUAAUAAUCGGGCAUAAACAUAUUACCGAAGCUAUGGAUUUACGUUGAAAGACACGUAAGUGGUAGGGGAGCAUUGUAACCUGCGUAGAAGGUGUGCUGUGAGGCAUGCUGGAGUGGUUACAAAAGAAAAUGUAGGCAUAAGUAACGAUAAUGGGGGCGAGAAACCCCCACACCGAAAGACUAAGGUUUCCUCAGCGAUGCUAAUCAGCUGAGGGUUAGUCGGGUCCUAAGGCGAAUCCGAACGGAGUAGUCGAUGGAUAACAGGUUAAUAUUCCUGUACUUCUUAUAAUUGCGAUGGGGUGACGGAGUAAUGAAAGCACCGCGAACUGACGGAAUAGUUCGUUGAAACAUGUAGCUAUUGGAACUGUAGGUAAAUCCGCAGAUCUAGGUGAAGUGUGAUAGUACAACAAAUCUUCGGAUGCGUUGAUAGUGUGCCUAAAGGCUUCCAAGAAAAACCUCUAAGCUUCAGAUUAUAAGAACCCGUACCGUAAACCGACACAGGUAGUUGGGAUGAGAAUUCUAAGGUGCUCGAGAGAUUCAUGGCUAAGGAACUAGGCAAAAUAGACCCGUAACUUCGGGAGAAGGGUCGCCCUGCUUUACAGCAGGGCCGCAGUGAAAAGGUCCAGGCGACUGUUUAUCAAAAACACAGGGCUUUGCUAAAUUGAAAGAUGAUGUAUAAGGCCUGACACCUGCCCGGUGCUGGAAGGUUAAGUGGAGGGUUUAGCUUCGGCGAAGAUCUGAAAUGAAGCCCCAGUAAACGGCGGCCGUAACUAUAACGGUCCUAAGGUAGCGAAAUUCCUUGUCGGGU